ACAAACCCGUUAAUCGGAAUUCUGGGCGUAAAGCGCACGCAGGCGGUUUGUUAAGUCAGAUGUGAAAUCCCCGGGCUCAACCUGGGAACUGCAUCUGAUACUGGCAAGCUUGAGUCUCGUAGAGGGGGGUAGAAUUCCAGGUGUAGCGGUGAAAUGCGUAGAGAUCUGGAGGAAUACCGGUGGCGAAGGCGGCCCCCUGGACGAAGACUGACGCUCAGGUGCGAAAGCGUGGGGAGCAAACAGGAUUAAAUACGCUGGUAGUCCACGCCGUAAACGAUGUCGACUUGGAGGUUGUGCCCUUGAGGCGUGGCUUCCGGAGCUAACGCGUUAAGUCGACCGCCUGGGGAGUACGGCCGCAAGGUUAAAACUCAAAUGAAUUGACGGGGGCCCGCACAAUUAGUGGAGCAUGUGGUUUAAUUCGACUGACCGUAAAGAACCUUAC
rnacentral:rRNA from 1 species